UGAAAAUACUUGGUUUCGGCCCAAUUCAAGGCAUGAUUAAUGCCCAAUCUGUAGAUAUAGUUUAAC
rnacentral:tRNA from 1 species